GCUGCUCCGACCUCAGCACCCGCAGCAGCUUUUCUCUCUCACAGAUAUGGACAGGCACCCCAUUGAGACAUUGUCCCAGAACCCCUAGCUAACAGACUUCCAGGCACAGGAUCUCUCACCUGGAGAAACAAGAUGCCAUUAAAACUGCUACUGAUGGUCACAUGUCCUGCUCUCCAUCUUGCCUUCUGCACGGGAAUCAGAGAGCCUGGCUGACGGCUGGCACUGUGAAACCUACUCAUUCUCAGAACCGGAUAAGAAGAGACUCCCACUUCUGCCAGCUCUGCUGCCACUCCCACAUGCCUUCUUCAGAACUUCAAUGUCAUACAGAAGAAAGACUUCUUUGGUAAAAGUCAAUCAUUGAUCAAGUCCAAGAUCCACAGUCUGGACCUCCAAGUACUGCUCAUUACUUUCCUGAUGAAGAGUUUGGUGGAGCUCUAGUCAAUCCUUCUACAUCUGUCAUUCACACAGAACCAGAAGUGUGACCUCCUGGGUGGUUCCCUCCUACCUGCCUUCCCAUACUCCACCCACCAUUGCAUGGCUGCCUUUCCUACCAUUUAGUUCCACAUACCUCAAGCCUGUUCUCUGCUCUAUGGAUGCUGACCUUACAUCUCAGAGAAGCUCAACAGAGUCACACUGCCCAGGCAGAAAGCUCACGCAGGUGGCAGUUAGCUGGUAGGAUUUACCACCUGAUACAAAUCAUUAUUUUUUUCUAAAGAAGAGAUGAUUUCAAAAUCUGGCAGUUGAAUUGAGAGGUUGGGAGGUAGAGAAAGAAUUUUAGCCCCUUGAAACUAGACAUCGCUUUGAAAUUGUCUGCUCCAAUCCUGCAUUUUUUCUAGGGUGGAAACCGAGUCUCAGUCCUGAUGGUUUUUAUGAAGUCACUGGCAAAGCAGAACAGGAGGCACCAAGGGGGCCUGGACUAGCCUCUUGGAGUCUUUGAGCGAAGUUGCAAGGAUUAUGGGGCACCUACAUUGUCUCUUUCAAGGGCCAGCCACCAGGGAACACACCGUUGUCAAGUUUUUAGAUACUAACUAAGGAUGCUCUCUUGACUGCUCACCAUGCUGGCUUUGUAAAGGCAGACUUCAUUUUCCUGGCUUCCUGGACUGAGGGUUCAUGGACAUGUUCAAGGACAAACUAACAGUAAGCAGCCACGGCGGGCCUUGGGACCCAGGCCAGAUGUCCUUUGUAGUAUUCCCUCAUGCUACCUCCCUCACGCAAAGAUGAACGUACAGUGUUCUUUAGUAUGAACAGGCAGUGACGGGCACAGGGAAACAGGACAAAUGCAUGUUGGUUCUAGCCACCAACUCUCUGGGAUCAUUUCUCACAGCUGAGAUGUGCUGAGCAGUGGCUGUUUCUUCAGACUUUGAGAUUCAAUGUCUUAUGUCAGUGCAAACAGUUUAGCAUGUCCUCUAUGUUCUGGAAAAAAAUCUUAUGAGCAGUACCAAUGCUUAAAAAAACCAAACUAAACCUGGUGCCUUAGCUGUAAGGAAAAAGUAGAAGGAAAGUAGUUUGAAACAAAUGCCAUUGUGAUUUUGGUUUUGUUUGUUUGUUUUCAGACGACAUUAAAGGUAGGUUUAUUGGGAAGCUGCUCUCAAGCAGGCUGGGUGAGUUCACUGGCCCCAAGGAAGGAAGCCAGCAAAAUUGCCAGGGUGCAGAGUGAGAGAAGAGAGGGGGAAGGAAGAAGAGGUGGAGGAGAAGGAGAAGGAGGAGCAGGAGGAAGAGGAAGAGGAGGAAGAAGGAGAAGAGGAGGAGGAGAAGAAGGAGAAGAAGAAGAAGAAGAAGAAGAAGAAGAAGAAGAAGAAGAAGAAGAAGAAGAAGAAGAAGAAGAAGAAGAAGAAGAAGAAGAAAGAAGAAGAGAGCCAGGGAGUGAGCAGUUCAGUGCUACUGCUGUGAUGGCCAUCAUGACACAGACGCAAAGCACAUGAAUGGACAGACAUUUUCCAAACUGUAAACCAAACGGGCCUUCUUGUUUUAUAAACUGAUCUACCUCAGGUAUUUGCUAUAGCAACAGAGAACUAUCAUAUCACUCAUCCUUUGGCCUCUUUACUCCAGUUUUCUCUGUCGAGGAAGAAACAGAAAUAUUCUCACUGGUCAUACAG
ensembl:lncRNA